GAUGAACGCUGGCGGCGUGCCUAAUACAUGCAAGUCGAGCGAACGGACGAGAAGCUUGCUUCUCUGAUGUUAGCGGCGGACGGGUGAGUAACACGUGGAUAACCUACCUAUAAGACUGGGAUAACUUCGGGAAACCGGAGCUAAUACCGGAUAAUAUUUUGAACCGCAUGGUUCAAAAGUGAAAGACGGUCUUUCUUUCACUUAUAGAUGGAUCCGCGCUUCAUUAGCUAGUUGGUAAGGUAACGGCUUACCAAGGCAACGAUGCAUAGCCGACCUGAGAGGGGGAACGGCCACACUGGAAAUGAGACACGGUGCAGACUCCUACGGGAGGCAGCAGUAGGGAAUAUUACGCAAUGGGCGAAAGCAUGACGGAGCAAAGCCGCGUGAGAGAUGAAGGUCUUCGGAGCGUAAAACUCUGUUAUUAGGGAAGAACAUAUGUGUAAGUAAAUGUGCACAUCUUGACGGUACCUAAUCAGAAAGCCACGGCUAACUACGUG
rnacentral:rRNA from 1 species